rnacentral:lncRNA from 1 species
AACGGAUUCCUCUGCCUUUCAAUCAAUAAAAUAAUUAGAAUUCACUUUAGUACAGAGAAUCUGGAGGAGUUAUAAAAGUACUCAAACAAUGUAACAAUUGUGAAGUAAUCAAAUAAAUAGCAGGCUCAUUCAUUCACAGGAAUCACAGUCCUCCAGGAGACCUCAUUAGAAACUAAGGGCAAAGGAGGUUAGCAACUAUAAAUUCUAAUUUUUCUUUUCUUUUUUUUUUAUUCUUUUGGAAUUCUUUGUUACCUUAUUUUUUUACUUGUUAAUCAGUCCGCUCAUGUUAGUAGAAUAUCCAUAGUACACAUCACACACACACACUUUGACACAGGUAUUAUGAUACAAUAAUUAUUUUCACAUGCAUUUUGUAGACAUCAAUCUUACUGUUCAUUAUCUCCUAUUAGAUUUAUGUCUCUAUUCUCUCUAUUUCCUCUUGGCUGGAAUUUCAUGUAAUCAGAAGAAACUCUAUGUGUGUUGCUCAGUGCUUAACAGAGAUUCACUUUCUACACACCAGAUUUCCUUUGGGAAUAUUCUAUUCCCUCUUAAUUCAGAGCUAUUAUAAUAUGGAGGAAAUUAUCUAAAUGUCUUUUCUCUCACAAGAGAAAAACAAUGAUUCUGUUUGCCAAGCUAGCUCAUAAACCCAAAGAUCAGAAUGAGUCCCAUCUUUUUAAUUUAGCAAAAACCAGCUUGGAAAAUUCUAUCCUGGAAAAUUAUAAUGCUGAGGGUAUGUGCAUCUUAAGAGCUGAUUUGAGGGCUGGAGUUGUGGCUCAGUGGUAGAACACUUGUCUAGCACACGUGAGGUACUGGGUUCAAUCCCUGGUGCCACAUAAAAAUAAAACAAACAUAUUGUGUUCAUCUACAACUAAAAAAUAUUUUUAAAAAAAGAGCUGAUUUAAGAGUAUUUUAACCAGGACUCAAUCAGAUAGUUCACAGAGGAAUAUCUCAUGAUUUUCUGUGGGAAUUCUGUGUUUGGUAUUGGGGUCUACAAACUUUGUGAUUGUGACAUACUUGGUGACUAGGAAGCUUCUGUGCAGACACAGAAUGCCUGGCUGCUAGGAGAUACCUAGCUAGUGGGAAACUCCUGCACAAAAGCGUAGGGUCCCUGGCUGCCAUAGCAUUGUCCUUCAUAAGCUUACUCUGCUGCCCAGACCUGGGGUGCACAGGCUCCUCCCUCCGAGGUAAUAAGACAACUCUGCAGGCGCUCUCUGGUCUCCAUGGUGAUGCCCUGGAGAAUGGGGGCCCCUGUUUGUUCUAACCUGGACCUUAUCUCAGUUAGCUAGCACUCAGGGUUAAAGAAAUGCUAAUCAGAAUGUAGUCAUGGUAAUGGGAGGUAGAUGUUCUUUGAGUUAAUCAACUCCCAGGCAGGGAGGGGCCGACACUUCACUUCCACACUUCUUCUUCACCACUUCACUCCUCUCCUCUCCACUCUUCC